rnacentral:rRNA from 1 species
AUUUUUUAGAAAUAAAUAAAAAUGAAUUCUGCUCAAUGUAAUAUAAAUAGCCGCAGUAUUUUGACUGUGCAAAGGUAGCAUAAUAAUUAGUCUUGUAAUUUAAGACUGGAAUGAAAGGAUAAACUGGAGAGUUUCUUUCUUGACUUUUUUCUUUAAAUUUUACUUUUUAGUAAAAAGGCUAAAAUAUGUCUUUUAGACAAGAAGACCCUAUAAAGCUUUACAUAUAAUAAUUUAAUAAAUUAAAAAUAUGUUUCACUGGGGCGGUGAGAAGACUAACACUUCUAAAACAUUAAAAUAAUAUUAUUUUAAUACCCAAAAUUUUUGAACUUUAAAUAAGUUACUUUAGGGAUAACAGCGUAAUAUAUUUUUAAAGCUCAAAUUGACAAAUAUGUUUGCGACCUCGAUGUUGGAUUAGAUUUCCUUUAUUCCGCAAGAGGAGUAAAAAGGGGGUCUGUUCGACCCAUAAAAGUCUCCA